AUUGAACGCUGGCGGCAUGCCUUACACAUGCAAGUCGAACGGCAGCACGGGAGCAAUCCUGGUGGCGAGUGGCGAACGGGUGAGUAAUAUAUAGGAACGUGCCCAGUCGUGGGGGAUAACGCAGCGAAAGCUGUGCUAAUACCGCAUACGAUCUACGGAUGAAAGCGGGGGAUCGCAAGACCUCGCGCGAUUGGACCGGCCGAUAUCAGAUUAGCUAGUUGCUGGGGUAAAGGCCCACCAAGGCGACGAUCUGUAGCUGGUCUGAGAGGACGACCAGCCACACUGGGACUGAGACACGGCCCAGACUCCUACGGGAGGCAGCAGUGGGGAAUUUUGGACAAUGGGCGAAAGCCUGAUCCAGCAAUGCCGCGUGCAGGAUGAAGGCCUUCGGGUUGUAAACUGCUUUUGUACGGAACGAAAAAGCUCCUUCUAAUACAGGGGGCCCAUGACGGUACCGUAAGAAUAAGCACCGGCUAACUACGUGCCAGCCGCCGCCGUAACAC
rnacentral:rRNA from 1 species